UACAGAGGGUGCAAGCGUUGUUCGGAAUUAUUGGGCGUAAAGCGCGCGCAGGCGGUCCUUUAAGUCUGAUGUGAAAGCCCACGGCUCAACCGUGGAGGGUCAUUGGAAACUGAGGGACUUGAGUACAGGAGAGAAAAGUGGAAUUCCACGUGUAGCGGUGAAAUGCGUAGAGAUGUGGAGGAACACCAGUGGCGAAGGCGACUUUUUGGCCUGUAACUGACGCUGAGGCGCGAAAGCGUGGGGAGCAAACAGG
rnacentral:rRNA from 1 species